CCCCUCUUAGCUCAGUUGGAAGAGCAUCAGACUGUAAUUGGAUAAAUUCUCAUCUGGGGGUCGCCUGUUCGAACCAGGCAGAGGGGA
rnacentral:tRNA from 1 species